CCUACGGGAGGCUGCAGUGGGGGAUAUUGCACAAUGGGGGAAACCCUGAUGCAGCGACGCCGCGUGGGUGAAGAAGCGCCUCGGCGCGUAAAGCCCUGUCAGCAGGGAAGAAAAUGACGGUACCUGAAGAAGAAGCCCCGGCUAACUACGUGCCAGCAGCCGCGGUAAUACGUAGGGGGCAAGCGUUAUCCGGAUUUACUGGGUGUAAAGGGGGCGCAGACGGGGAUGCAAGCCAGGAGUGAAAGCCCGGGGCCCAACCCCGGGACUGCACUUGGAACUGCGUGGCUAGAGUGCAGGAGGGGCAGGCGGAAUUCGUGGUGUAGCGGUGAAAUGCGUAGAUAUCAGGAGGAACACCGGUGGCGAAGGCGGCCUGCUGGACUGCAACUGACGUUGAGGCCCGAAAGCGUGGGGAGCAAACAGGAUUAGAUACCCCAGUAGUC
rnacentral:rRNA from 1 species